CCUACGGGUGGCAGCAGUGGGGAAUUUUGCGCAAUGCUCGUAAGAGUGACGCAGCGACGCCGCGUGAGUGAAGAAGUAUUUCGGUAUGUAAAGCUCUAUCAGCAGGGAAGAAAAUGACGGUACCUGACUAAGAAGCCCCGGCUAACUACGUGCCAGCAGCCGCGGUAAUACGUAGGGGGCAAGCGUUAUCCGGAUUUACUGGGUGUAAAGGGAGCGUAGACGGUGCAGCAAGUCUGAUGUGAAAGGUCGGGGCCCAACCCCGGGACUGCAUUGGAAACUGUUGAACUGGAGUACAGGAGAGGUAAGCGGAAUUCCUAGUGUAGCGGUGAAAUGCGUAGAUAUUAGGAGGAACACCAGUGGCGAAGGCGGCUUACUGGACUGUAACUGACGUUGAGGCUCGAAAGCGUGGGGAGCAAACAGGAUUAGAUACCCGAGUAGUC
rnacentral:rRNA from 1 species